GCCCACGUAGCUCAGACGGUAGAGCGCUUCCUUGGUAAGGAAGAGGUUCACCGGUUCGAUUCCGGUCGUGGGCUCCA
rnacentral:tRNA from 1 species